rnacentral:rRNA from 1 species
UACGUAGGGUCCGAGCGUUGUCCGGAAUUACUGGGCGUAAAGGGCUCGUAGGCGGCCAACUAAGUCAGACGUGAAAUCCCUCGGCUUAACCGGGGAACUGCAUCUGAUACUGGAUGGCUUGAGAUUGGGAGAGGGAUGCGGAAUUCCAGGUGUAGCGGUGAAAUGCGUAGAUAUCUGGAGGAACACCGGUGGCGAAGGCGGCAUCCUGGACCAACACUGACGCUGAGGAGCGAAAGCCAGGGGAGCAAACGGG